CGUGGGCGCUGGAGAACUGAGGGGGGCUGCUCCUAGUACGAGAGGACCGGAGUGGACGCAUCACUGGUGUUCGGGUUGUCAUGCCAAUGGCACUGCCCGGUAGCUAAAUGCGGAAGAGAUAAGUGCUGAAAGCAUCUAAGCACGAAACUUGCCCCGAGAUGAGUUCUCCCUGACUCCUUGAGAGUCCUGAAGGAACGUUGAAGACGACGACGUUGAUAGGCCGGGUGUGUAAGCGCAGCGAUGCGUUGAGCUAACCGGUACUAAUGAACCGUGAGGCUUAACCUUACAACGCCGAAG
rnacentral:rRNA from 1 species